rnacentral:misc_RNA from 1 species
AACCUAGCACACCUGCGGUGUGUACCUGCGGAGGGAUCAUUACCAAUCUUAGUGAGCCAUGGACUCGUCCGUGGACUCGCGAAACCUGUAUUUAAAACCCGCUCAUAUAACUUAAAAACGUGUAGUAUCAUGAUGUAAAAAUUUAAGAUAACUUUCAACAACGGAUCU